GUAGUCCACACCGUAAACGAUGGUCACUAGUCGUCGGGGGAUUCGACCCCUUCGGUGACGCAGCUAACGCAUUAAGUGACCCACCUGGGGAGUACGAUCGCAAGGUUGAAACUCAAAGGAAUUGACGGGGGCCCGCACAAGCGGUGGAGCAUGUGGUUUAAUUCGAUGCAACGCGAAGAACCUUACCUGGGCUCGAAGUGUACUGUAAACCCAUGAAAGUGGGCUAUCCCUUCGGGGAGCGGUAUAUAGGUGCUGCAUGGCUGUCGUCAGCUCGUGUCGUGAGAUGUUGGGUUAAGUCCCGCAACGAGCGCAACCCUUGUCUCUAGUUGCCAUCAGGUAAUGCUGGGAACUCUAGAGAGACUGCCGCGGUUAACGCGGAGGAAGGUGGGGAUGACGUCAAGUCCUCAUGGCCCUUACGUCCAGGGCUACACACGUGCUACAAUGGCUGGUACAGAACGUCGCAAAGCCGCAAGGUGGAGCUAAUCGGCAAAAACCAGUCUCAGUUCGGAUUGCACUCUGCAACUCGAGUGCAUGAAGUUGGAAUCGCUAGUAAACGCGAAUCAGCAGGUCGCGUUGAAUACGUUCCCGGGCCUUGUACACACCGCCCGUCACACCAUGGGAGUCGGUAGGACCCAACAGGUUUGCGCCAACCGCAAGGAGGCAGAGCCUUAAGGUCAGCCCGAUGACUGGGGUG
rnacentral:rRNA from 1 species